GCCUUUUGAUUAAAUAUAAGAGGUCCAGCCUGCCCGGUGAAUUACUUUAACGGCCGCGGAACCAUAACCGUGCAAAGGUAGCAUAAUCAUUUGUUCCUUAAAUAGGGACUUGUAUCAACGGCAUCACGAGGGUUAUACUGUCUCCCCACUCUAAUCAGUGAAACUGACCUCCCCGUGAAGAGGCGGGGAUUAUAAUACUAGACGAGAAGACCCCAUGGAGCUUUAAACCCAAUAAUAUUCUCAACAAUGACAAUCCAUCAAAGUACAAAAGUCUAUAUCUAUUGGUUUUAGGUUGGGGUGACCACGGAGUAAAACAAAUCCUCCUUGACGAACAGGUCUUAGCCUAAUCCAAGAGUCACUACUCUAAGAAUCAAAAAUUUGACGUAAAAUGAUCCGCAAAGCGAUCAACGAACCAAGUUACCCUGGGGAUAACAGCGCAAUCCGUUUCGAGAGCCCUUAUCGACAAACGGGUUUACGACCUCGAUGUUGGAUCAGGGUAUCCCAGUGGUGCAGCAGCUACUAAAGGUUUGUUUGUUCAACAAUUARAACCU
rnacentral:rRNA from 1 species